AUGAGAAGAGGAAUUUCUUUUCUUCUUUUUUUUCCUCUUGUUUAUUCCCAGUACCUUAAGCUGUACUUAUCACAUUGUAAGUCCUCAAUAACUAUGAUGUCGAGAAAGAAAAAGAGAUAUUUACCCAGGCAUUGUUUUACUUUCCUGUAUUUCAUGCAUGCGUGCAAUGCACUAUGUUUUUUACUUGUAACAAACCAUUUAAAAAUACUUCUAUUUUUUUCCCUUUCUAAAGCCAAUGAAGGAGGCUAUACGAUCUCACACUCCCAUGAAAGAGACAACUACUGUGGAGAUCUGGACUCAUCCCCAACCACAGCGGAAAUCCGAGGGGAAAAGGGCAGGAAAGAAACACAAUUCAGGAGUUUCAAUCGUGGCUCAGCGGAAACAAAUCUGACUAUUAUCCAUGAGGACACAGGUUCGAUCCCCAGCCUUGCUGAGUGGGUUAAGGAUCCAGUGUUGCUGUGA
rnacentral:lncRNA from 1 species